rnacentral:rRNA from 1 species
GACGAACGCUGGCGGCGUGCCUAAUACAUGCAAGUUGAGCGCUGAAGGUUGGUACUUGUACCGACUGGAUGAGCAGCGAACGGGUGAGUAACGCGUGGGGAAUCUGCCUUUGAGCGGGGGGCAACAUUUGGAAACGAAUGCUAAUACCGCAUAAAAACUUUAAACACAAGUUUUAAGUUUGAAAGAUGCAAUUGCAUCACUCAAAGAUGAUCCCGCGUUGUAUUAGCUAGUUGGUGAGGUAAAGGCUCACCAAGGCGAUGAUACAUAGCCGACCUGAGAGGGUGAUCGGCCACAUUGGGACUGAGACACGGCCCAAACUCCUACGGGAGGCAGCAGUAGGGAAUCUUCGGCAAUAGACGAAAGUCUGACCGAGCAACGCCGCGUGAGUGAAGAAGGUUUUCGGAUCGUAAAACUCUGUUGGUAGAGAAGAACGUUGGUGAGAGUGGAAAGCUCAUCAAGUGACGGUAACUACCCAGAAAGGGACGGCUAACUACGUG